UCUAUUUGAAAUAUUGGUGGUCAGGAAUGGCAACUCUCUUGAAUGGCAUGAAAUUUUCAGGAAUUGAUCUUCAGGGUAAAACAAUGAGCAAACCUGUAGCUGCUUUAAUUUAUUUACUCACUUUCAUUGUUUAUGUCUGGAUGAAAACGUUAAUGGAGCAGAAUCAGAAAUACAGAACUAUUAAGAAUGAAUCAAGGGAACAGCAAAGGUUCUUGCGCAGAAUUGUCUAAAUGCAAUGGUCAGUUGUGGUCAAAUUGAUGCCUGCGUACAACACUCCCAUGGUCAAUGUCUUCUUAAUAGAUCACAAAGCUAUUCAUUUCAAUCCUUUUGUGUCUUUUACAUCUGUUUUUCAUCUUGAAUGUGUUUCUGGAACUGCUGAAGUCUGUGAUUUGCAGUUUGGAGAUUGUUUGGGUGGUCCAGUGCUUUGCCAUCUCAGAGAGGAUUCCGGAAGGCAGCAAGUGCAAGCCUUGAGGUGAGAAGGCUACAGGACAGGGCGUGAGCCGACGUUUGACUCCAUUCCACCAAAGCGAUGAGGGAGGUUGAAACAUCAAGGCGAGUGUGGAAGGUGAGCACUGGCUGCCUGCCUUGGGAUCACUGGUGGGAUCGUUCUAUUGCUGGAGAGAGGAGCCUCUGUGCCUGGAGGAUGUUACUGAGGUUUUCUGUGUGGUGGAUAUGAAUAUGGUUUUGAACAAUGGACAAUGGACUUUUUUUCAGUCUUAUAGAUAUAUUCUGUAUUUUUUUAGCCAUUUAUUCUUGUUUUUGUUUGUGUGGGGACAGGGAUUUGGAGGUUGAUAAUUGUGUUGCUGUUCUCUUAUGGUUUUGUGACUACAUGGAGAAGCAGAAUCUCAGAGUUGUACACUUAGAAAAUAAAUUAACCUUUGAACCCUUGAAUCUUUGAUCCUAUAAAUCUAAAAAGUUAGAGCAAUGAUAGGCCCAGUGACUGGAUAAGGAAGAAUGUAUUCGGUUUCUGAAGGAAGGCCACGUAUCUUGAGGAGGAAUACAUUGACAGAUUGAUUUUGGGGCUGUAGUUGCAGGUGGACCAUGAAGAAAUCUCCAGGAUUGCAUUCUACCACAACUGACAAUCAACUGGAAAUUAUUACAGUGGUAUUUCCAACAGACCGCCUGAUGUCGUGCUCUUGAAUUUUCUUUAAAAUGUUGAUUAAACAAAAUGAGGAUUACACAUAUAUUCUUUUAGCAACGAAAACAAUAAUUGAACCCCGACAGUUCUGUGGUGAAGGCCUUCCUGUAUUGAUAACAACAAGCAAUUGCUAAUGACAAUUACAUGAAGAGGAUUGGAAGUGUGGCUCAAGUGCAGUCCUAGUUGUCAGCUCCAAUUCUCCGAUACGAUUCCAAUUGCUUUUUUGGUGGACUCCUUGAAAGUCUCUGGCUCAAAAGUGACCUUCAGCUUCCUCUUUGAGUCUUCAUCCUCUGUUAUAACCGCCAUGUGCUCCACCCAGUUGAGUUUUGAGAUUGCAAGAUAAUUCUACAAGCAAUAUGAUCCUCAUAAAGUAAUUGCUCUCUUUCUGUUGGCCACCUGCUGCACACAUUGACAGGGCCUUGUGUGAACACGGCACUGUAGCAGCACACCUGGACUGCCCUGUGGGUUCUUUGCAUCUGGCUCCUACUGACAAGGAGAAACCCUCAUUCACAUUUCAUAAUUUACAGUCUUUACUGUGAUAAAGAAGCAAGUGAGAUUUGCAAGAGGGCAUGUCCUGGGUGGUGAGGAUCCUUAAUGAUGGACGCCGUCUUCCUAAGGCACCGCUCAUGAAGAUUUCUUGGAUACUACGGAGGCUGAUACCCAUGAUGGAGCUGAACAUAUUUUAAAGGUCCUUCUCUGUGGUGAGAAGAAACUUCUGAAACAAAGGACUUUACUGGCCUUAAACCUGCUUAUGGCUCUAACUGCUAAUCGGGAGCUGUUCAGAACAAUGAAGAGGGUGCCCCCUUAUAUUUUCAGUGAUUUACAGGAGUGUAAGGAGCAUCCAGAUAAAACACAAGGCUUCAUCAAUUUUGUUUCAAGUUUUCUUUCUCCAAACCUCAGAAGGAUGGCUCUGUACCAUAGAGGAAUGACAUCUUGCAAUUUGCACACAUACCUCAGCUGUUAGAGAAUUUUCACUUCACUACGAUUCUUGCUUUCUUCCAAGUGAGUCCGCACUGUGGACUUUUCAUCUCAUCAACAUGAUUGAUCCGAAUUUAAGCCCUGGAGGAUUCAAGAACUUUUUUUCUAAGUUUCUUUCUACUCAUGAUUUACAAAGAGUUUUAUCACAUUAUCCUUUUUUUGCUUCCCCCUCUGGAAUCAUUUCUACAUCUGUGCAAGUAGUAAUCGGUCUAAUUCACAGAGUGUAUCCGGAUAAGGUCAGCAGACUUUUUCCUGAGUGAAUCCUUGCACAAUGAGCCUCAAAGAAGAUACUGGAAUUACAUCAAACUUUGAAUCUGUUUUAAUUGAGAGAUUCAGUGGUUCGUAAUGAAAGCAGAAAGUGCUGGAAAUGCUCACCAGGCCAGGCAGCAGUGGUUGAAACAGAAGCAGAGUUAAACACACUGGCAUUCCUCUGAUCUUCUCCCAGACUCACCGUGGCGGCACAUCCUCCAGCGGCGUAACAGUGCAAGCUGUGGCGGCUUGGGAGCGUGGGGGAUAGCACAAAGGUCACCAGCAAGGAGCCAACACACACUUGGACACAGAUACCACACAGCAUGCAGCUCGCCCAACAUGAAAACAGCAGCGCUGCCAGAUCGUCGUGAGAAUACGGUGAGAGAUACCGACUUCACCGGACUGCAGCUUGCAAGCAUUUAGUGUGGGGCCCUUGAAAAUGUGGGGCCUGCAGCAUAUUAUACUUUUGCUACUAGGUUAAUCCUGCCCUGGGCAUGAGUUUAGGGUGAGAAGGGAAAGAUUUAAAAGAGACCUGAGAGACAGCGUUUCCAUGCUGAGGGUGCCGAGUAUAUGGAAUGAACUACCAGAGUAAGUGGAUUGAGGCAUUUGAAUAGGUCAGUGGAGGGGUGGGGCUGAGCACAGGAAAAUGGGACUUGAUUGGGUGCAACCUGGUUGCAUGGACUUGUUGGGCCAAGGAGCCUGUAUCUGUGCUCAGAUCCCAAAACUCGCUCCAGGUCUACCCAAACCAGAAGCCUUUGAUAAAUAAUUCAGUGUAUGUUGCUCUCAGCACAAGGGAUAAAGGCAAUGGGAGAUCAAAAGAUGCUACUAUGAUUUUCAUAGAGCCAUCAAGGUGGCAAAAUGGCAACACGGGGAUGAAAUCCAGUCACAGCCCUCAACAAUGACACACACACAAAGUAUGGCAAGGGCUACACCCCACUGCAGACUUCAAGAGGAAGUGCAACAGUACAGCCAACAUUGCUGCCUCGCUCCCGGAUGAGCUAACUUUUUUUUACGCUCGAUCUGAGGAUGAUAGGACUGAACGCUCAAGGGGAGCUGCCGGCGAGACCCGCGCCUUGGUCAUCUCCGAGGCUGAGGUACGUAGAACAUUCCAAAGUAUCAACAGCCGCAAGGCAGCAGGGCCAAACGGCAACCCAGGGUGGGCCAGCAAAGUGUGUGCGGAAUAGCUGGCUAGUGUGUUUACCCUUUUAAAAAUUUUCCCUCUCCCAGUGGGUAGGGCCCUCCUGUCUCAAAUCGUCCAUUAAUGUCCCUGUACCUAAGGGUAGCACGCCUGAACAAUAGGUGCCCUGUCACACUCACCACAAUUAUAAGCAAGUGCUGUGAGAGACUGGUUAAAGAUUACAUCUGCAGCAUGCUACCACCCACACUGGACCUCCUACAAUUCGCCUACUGAUGGAACCAGCCUAUCAAUGAUGCCAUAGCCACAGGGCUACUCACUGUCCUCACUCCCCUGGAGAAGAGGGAUGCAUAUGUGAGAAUGCUGUUCCUGGACCACAGUUCAGCAUUCAACACUGGAAUUCCCUCCAGACUUGACAGGAAGCUCAGAGAUCUUGGCCUGCUCCCCACCUUGUGUAGCUGGAUCCCAAACUUGCUAUCGGAUUGCUGACAGAUGGUAGGGCUGGGUUCCAUCACCUCUGUCCAUCUGACCCUGCACACAGAUGCCCCCCAUGGCUGUGUCCCGAGUCCCCUCCUCUAUUCCCUUUACACCCACAACUGUGCGGACACACACAGCUCCAAUCAGCUUGGCCUUAUUUCUAGCAGUGAUGAUACAACCUACGGAGGAGAGGAUGACACUCUGACGCAGUGGUGCCAAGAUAACAACUCCUCCCUCAAUCUCCAAACAGCAACAGAACUGAUUGUGGAUUACAGGAGGAACGAAGACAGGCUCUCCCAAUGGACCCGCAGUUGAGAGGGUGAGUCAUUUCCAGUUCCUCUGUAUACACAUCACUGAGGAUCUUACCUGGACUGUACACAGCGGCUUUGCGGCAAAAAAAGCACAACAGUGUCUCUUACACCUCAGCCAACUGAAGAAGUUCGGCAUGAACCCCAAAUCCUCAGGACCUUCUACAGGGGCAUCAUUGAGAGCAUCCUGUGAUAUGGUCCGGUCUGGAGCUGCUGCUCCUCCUCCUCCUCCUCCCUGUCCCGACCUGUGUAUCAUAUUUGUCCUGCUUGUGCUGUUCGCCUGGUUUUGUUCUGUUUGUCCCGGCUUGGAGUACCCACCGUUAAUCAACUAUAAGUCUGUUCUCAUAGUCACCCUGGACUGAGCUCCCUUCUGAUCCCUUGCCUGUGUCGGGUAAGCAGGCUGGACUGCUGUUGUGCAGUGGGGGACUCUGCCCCUUCCUAUUCCUUGCCUCUGUUGGGUAAGCCAGGCCAGACUGUUGUUGCCCGGCAGGGGACUCCGACCCCUUCCUACUCCUCUCUUACGGCGGGUUGUGCCCUGCACCUCCCCAGGCCCCUGUGUUUCUGCCUGGGAGGCCGGGCCCUCCCCUGGAAUUAUGCGACCCACCCAGAGGGCUAUCCUCCCAGCAUUCCUUGUCCCAUAGACCCAUCCUCUAGCCUAGCCAGGAUCCUGCCUUGCCCAAACUAUCUCUGAACCCCAGGAUCACCUUUGAAUGCCACAUCCCUCACACAUGCCACGUCCCAUCUUGUUCUAUCCUUUAGUUGUUCCUGUCCUGCCCCUAGUACUUCGGUGCCUGUGUCCUGCAUUUGGGUCCAGUCUCCAUGUCCCUUUGUGAUAUCCUGACUGGCUCUAUCACCGCCUGGUACGGGAACUGCACCAACCUUGAUCGCUGGGCACCACAGAGAGUGGUACAGACAGCCCAGCACAAUUGUGGAUAUGAGCUUCCCUCCACUGAGGACAUUUAUAGCAGCAGGUGCGGAAAGAAGGCCUGGAAGAUCAUCAGGGACAUCAGUCACCCCAACCAUAAACUGUUUCAGCUGUUUCCGUCUGGCAAACGGUACGACAGUAUUAAAACCAGGGCAAACAGGCUGGAGGACGGCUUCUUUCUUCAAGCCAUUAGACUUUUAAAUUCACAUGUCUGUACAUUGCAAUGGAGUCAUAACACAAAGAUUUUUACUCCCUCACAUUGUGAGAUGGGUGGGGAAUUUAAAUAAAUUCAAAUUAAAUUCAGACUGAAAUUCAAAUUGCUCUAUGAUUUCAAUUAGGUAGGAAUUAUAAUAUUAUAAACAAAUUUCCUUAAAAAAGCAUCUCAUAUCUGUUAACACAAGGAAAUCUGCAGAAGCUGGAAAUUCAAACAACAACAACACACAAAAUGCUGGUGGAACACAGCAGGCCAGGCAGCAUCUAUAGGGAGAAGCGCUGUCGACAUUUCGGGCCGAGACCCUUCAUCAGGACUAACCACUAACAUAUCUGUUAACUUUGAAAUACUUAUCCAAGGGAUUGAAGUGAAAAGCAAACAGCUGAAGGAGCUCGGCAGAUAAAUGGAGGGAAGUGGACCAUCAAAGUUUCAGGCUGACACCCUCAACUUGGACUGAAGGACAGAGAGGAGAUGAGAUGAGGGGAUGGGUGCAGAAAGAGCUGGCUGGUGGUAGUCGAUCCAGAUGGUGGGGAAGAGGGUGGUGGUAGUUGACAGGCAAUUGAGGGAAGAGUGAAAAUAUUGACAAAGACAUCCCCCGGGAUUGCCUGCAAACGUGCCUGUGGAAGAAUGAAUAACAUGGAGAGAGUGAUCCCAGCAGAAAGGAGUUGGGAGGGAAGAUAUGGCUGGUGGUGAAAUCAUAGUGUAGCUGGUAAAUUAUGUCUAGGAUUCCUUUAAAAUGUAUUCAUUGUGCAAAAAGCAACAUCUACCAGGAAUAUUAGAGUUAAAAUUGUUUACGAAGAGCAUAUAUUUAAAUUUAUCACUUGGUUCUAAAACUUGCACUGGAGGAGGUGUGAAUGAGUCUACAUUAUGGUGGCAAAAGAAAACUUUGAAAAGAACUUGGCCGUGGCUCCACCUACAACUCUCAAAUUAUAUUGAAAGUUCACUUAUACGUUCCUUCACAUUUUAAACAGAACCUACCUAAUUUGAAUAUGGUAUAUGGUACUGGAAUAAUUUACCAAGAUCUAAACUAUUGAUUGGAGAUGUUAAUUCAAAGCAUACAGUAGCAAUUUAAAAAAAUUAAUUCUAGUAAUUAAAUAUAUAUGAAAUUACUGCAAGCUGUUAUCAUAAAUAAGAAUUAGUAAACAAUUGGAUUGCCAUCUGAGUCACUCAUUUUCUGCAGGGUUGGAUGUAUGCUGUCCCAUCUGGGCUGGCUUAUAAUUGAUCCUAGACACACAUGAGUGAUCUGAAACAAUUAAUUUAAAAGAUAAUUAAGGAUGGGCAGUGAUACCCAUAUUGUUCCUCCAAUUAACAUAGAUUCUGUCCCUGAUCACAGAUGCAUACAGCAGGCUGUCUGAAGUGGCAAUUUUUUCUAUAGGUGAUUCUGAGCAAUCAGGGCUUCAGAUUUGAGCUCUGCCAACUAUUUUUGUUUGCAGAGGCAAUUGAGAUAUUGGCCAGGCCCAGAUAGUUAAGUAACAACUGAUGUAAGCAGUUUUCCUUCAGGAAAGAGGCUUCUCCUAGACAAGAGGUACAAGUUCAUGUUGGAUCACACAAGUGCCAUUGUCAUGUAAUGCACCAUCAAUAACUCUGAGACGUGGGUUAAGGUAGGCUUUUAUCGGCUGGAAGAAAGCACUGUCAGCAGCAAGUGACCAUCACACAACAUCCUGGAGACUGAGGAAGGGUCUGUGGCUCCAAUCGCCUUUAUACCGGGGUCCGUGGGAGGAGCCACAGGAGCAGUUAGUGGGGGGUGUGUCCAGACAGGUAUAUGUAGUUCACCAUAUUUACCUUAACCCACAUCUCAGAGUUAUGAUGGUGCAUCAAUUUUAUUGGCUGGAAGAAAACACAAGCAGCAAGUGACCAUCAUACAACAUCAUGUAAGCUGUCUGAGUGGUCAUUUAAGGAUUCCUUACCCCAAUUUUUCAGACUAUUUGGAAGGGAUAAAAUAAUACCCAUACUUAUUUCUUUUUGACUGACUGUAUAUUAUGUGUGCUUGAAGGUUAUUGCAGGAUAUACAAACUAAUAUGAGAUAAAGGAGGUCAACAAAGUAUGUGGAAUUCUCUGUGAUCAACCAAAUGCAAGUGUGCAUUUAACACCUUAUAAUCCAACACUGACUGCAAAUUGACCAAAGUUUCUAUCUCGGCAUGCUGAGAGGAACCAAAAGGUUUUUAAUGAACUUUUUAAAUAAGCUGCAAGCUGAAGAAGUGCUCGAAAGCUACUAAUACAAAGAUAAACAGGAUGUUGCAUGAACUUAACUAUGUUUCUUUCUCCAAAUAUAAUUAUAAUUUUAAAAGUUAGGAUACAAUUUUCAGUAGAGUUACAAGUGAACACAUACAUAAGUAACACCCAUAGUUUAAUAAGCCUGGAUUUGUAUUCAAUGGUAUUUUGAAAUUGGUAAACAUCAGAACUGGCAAGGCCACAUUGAAAUGUAGGUUAUAACAGGAUGAUAGCUGAAAAUGAUCUGAACUCAGUAAAUUAGUUUCUUCUUCAUAGAAGUGCAUUUGUUUUUUUAUUAACUGCACAUUAUGUUAAUCCCGCCUUUCAAAAACAGUUUCAAGCAAGUGAAGGUUUUCUUUCUCUGUGUUUGUUGCAAUUGGAAUGGUUUUCCUCAUGCACAAGUAAUACUGGAUUCCUGACAACGUCUUUAUCUGCAAUGCUUUGGAGUCAUUUAGGUGUUGAUUUAACCUCAUAUGAUAUUUUGUUACAGAGGUAUAGACCCUUGUUGGUGUUAAUUGUCAAGCAGUAUCACAUUUCUUUCUUGAUAUUAAGAUAGCUUUAACUUCGGCCCAGAACCAAUGAAGUAAUUAGACUUUCUCCUGACGACUCAAGAUAUAAAUCUUGAGAUCAGGGAAGCAGGUAUUGCUCACAAUCUGCUCUUUAGUUCAGGGCACUUUAUGACUGCCGCAUGAGCUGUGCCCAUAAUAUUGGACAAUAUUGUAAAUGUCAUCUGAUAACUUGGUGCCACAUCAUUAGUCAAGUUAGUUUUUCUAUUCUUCUAACUUUAACCCUCCUGCCUAAAUCCUUCAAUACUUCAUUAUGCUUUUAGAAAAUUGCUUAAAUGCAACAAUGACACAUUCAUGUCAAAUAUAUUUUUCCAGCCCAUUCUCAAUCUCAAUGCAAUUUGCUAUGUAAAUCGGACAUGUUGCAAGUUCAUUCACUUUAAUGUUGUGUAAACUCCCUUUAAUAACUUCUUCCUGUAGUUGCCAUCCUUGCAUUAGGGAACUACUUGGGUGCCACUGUUGAGUUGUACUAUAUAAUGUUUAGUUUUGCAUACAGAGGCUCUAUGGCCUUGUUACUACAAAUAAAUCUCAGCAUCACAUGUUUGUACCGACAAAUUCCUGCUGUGAAACAGCAAAGUCUGUUGCCAGAUCUGCUCUUUGCACCACUCCUUUUCUACCAGUCCUCAAAGCUGGAUUUCCAGCCAUAGUUCCUGCUUUUUUGUCCGUGUACCACAUUUACACUAAUGUCCUUGCUGAUUGAAUCUUUCGAGGCUACUUCACUGAUCCAGUUGUCAUGCAUGUUUGAUUUAGCAUUAACUCUUUAAUAUUGGAUACCAUUUGCUGGAUAUAACGAUCCCUUAGUUCACACGCAAAAUUAUCUCUGAGCAUUCAGAUCAGAAAGUCAUCAAAGUUGAGGUGCCAUGACUAAUCUUUCUAUGUCAUCGCUAAUUGUUCUUCCGAUGAGUCCCAUGAUACAGUACAACUGAUCACAUGAUGCUAUGUGCACGUGGUUUUUCAUUGCGCCUGCUUGUACUUGUGCCAAUAAACUUGACUUUAGACUUCUUCACAAUUUCUUGAGAUGUUGCACUGUACCUUUUUAGACCAUAAGACAUAGGAGCAGAAUUAAGCCAUCUGGCCCAUCGAGUCUGCUCCACCAUUCAAUCAUGGCUGAUCCUUUUUUUGUUAUCUCCUCCUCAACCCCAGUUCCCAGCCUCCUCCCCGUAACCUUUGAUGCUAUGUCCAAUCAAGGACCUAUCAAACUCUGCCUUAAAUACACCCAAUGAGCUGGCUUCCACAAUUGCAUGUGGCAACAGAUUCCACAAAUUCACCACCCUUUGUCUAAAGAAAUUUCUCUGCAUCUCUGUUUUGAAAGGGCACCCCUCUAUCCUGAGGCUGUGACGUCUUGUCCUAGACUCUCAGACCAUGGGAAAUAUCCUUUCCACAUCUACUGUGUCUAGGCCUUUCAACAUUUGAAAGGUUUUGAUGAGAUCCCCCCUCAUUCUUCUGAAUUGCAGUCAGUACAGACCCAGAGCAAUCAAAUGUUCCUCGUAUGAUUCCUGGGAUCAUCCUUGUGAACCUCGUCUGGACCCUCUCCAAUGCCAGCACAUCUUUUCUAAGAUGAGGGGCCCAACAUUGUUCACAAUACUCAAGGUGAGGCCUCACUAGUGCCUUAUAAAGCCUCAGCAUCACAUCCUUGCUCUUGUGUUCUAAACCUCUUGAAAUGAAAACUAACAUGGCGUUUGCGUUCCUCACCACCAGCUCAACCUGCAAGUUAACCUUCAGCGGGUCUAAGUCCCUCUGCAUCUCAGAUUCCUGGAGUUACUCCCUGUUUAGAAAAUCAUCCACACAUUUAUUUCUACUACCAAAAUGCAUGACCAUAUAUUUUCCAACAUUGUAUUUCAUUUGCCACUUUUCUUUAUUAAUAUGUCAAAUGGGAUUAGCUAUAGUCUUGCUAAUGAUAGAACUAAGGUCAAAUUGCAUACUUUUCCUAUAUCUUGUGUUAGUGUGACAUUGAUUAGGAAUAAGAAUGGUGUGUUUACUAAUGCCACUGAAUUACCUGUGCCUAUUUUGACUAACAAGAUCACUUCCUUGUACUUGUAUAUGUCCUUAUAUAGUUAUUUGCUAAUUUAAUUCCUUAUUGUACAUAAUGAUAU